rnacentral:rRNA from 1 species
GGCGAGUGGCGAACGGGUGAGUAAUACAUCGGAACGUACCCUGUUGUGGGGGAUAACUAGUCGAAAGAUUAGCUAAUACCGCAUACGACCUGAGGGUGAAAGCGGGGGACCGAAAGGCCUCGCGCAGCAGGAGCGGCCGAUGUCUGAUUAGCUAGUUGGUGGGGUAAGAGCCCACCAAGGCGACGAUCAGUAGCUGGUCUGAGAGGACGAUCAGCCACACUGGGACUGAGACACGGCCCAGACUCCUACGGGAGGCAGCAGUGGGGAAUUUUGGACAAUGGGGGCAACCCUGAUCCAGCAAUGCCGCGUGUGUGAAGAAGGCCUUCGGGUUGUAAAGCACUUUUGUCCGGAAAGAAAACGCUCUGGUUAAUACCUGGGGCGGAUGACGGUACCGGAAGAAUAAGCACCGGCUAACUACGUGCCAGCAGCCGCGGUAAUACGUAGGGUGCGAGCGUUAAUCGGAAUUACUGGGCGUAAAGCGUGCGCAGGCGGUUUUGUAAGACAGGCGUGAAAUCCCCGAGCUCAACUUGGGAAUUGCGCUUGUGACUGCAAGGCUAGAGUAUGUCAGAGGGGGGUAGAAUUCCACGUGUAGCAGUGAAAUGCGUAGAGAUGUGGAGGAAUACCGAUGGCGAAGGCAG